rnacentral:rRNA from 1 species
UACGUAGGGUGCAAGCGUUAAUCGGAAUUACUGGGCGUAAAGCGUGCGCAGGCGGCUAUGCAAGACAGAUGUGAAAUCCCCGGGCUCAACCUGGGAACUGCAUUUGUGACUGCAUGGCUAGAGUACGGUAGAGGGGGAUGGAAUUCCGCGUGUAGCAGUGAAAUGCGUAGAUAUGAGGAGGAACACCGAUGGCGAAGGCAAUCCCCUGGGCCUGCACUGACGCUCAUGCACGAAAGCGUGGGGAGCAAACAGG